UUUAUUUCUCACUUUUUUUCUUUUUGAAUAUAUAUAUAUAUAUAUAUUAAGUUGAGCUGGAAUGCUAUUGGUAAUAAACGGGCUAUGUUGGCAUCAAUUUAUUUUCGAUAAUGGAGUAUCCAAAUCGACGAUCGACAUAGCUAAAUAUGAUUUAUACCACGUGAAACAUCAAAUUUUAUGUUUUUUCGAUAUUUCUCUCUUGUCCAUUAAGUGGAUACGAAAAUGAACGACUGAAAAAAUAUCUUUUAAAAAGUGAUGAUUGAAAUUCUAUAAUCAAGACCAAGAGUAUAAUUAUUAUUUUAAAGAGUUUAAAAAAUUUUCUAACCAAAAUUAAACUGAUUUGGAUAUUUUUACGCCACUAAACAAGAAAUGUCUCAUAUCGACAGUUAAAAUUAUAAAAUUUGAAAAUAUUUGAUCAUUAGGUCAAUGAUAUCGAAAAGAUUUAAAUUUUGAUUUUUAGAUAUUUCAAGUGGUAUAUAUUAUAUUCAACGAUGCCGAUCGUUGACUUGAAGAUUGGAUCAUCGAAAAUAGAUAAGUGGCAAUGGAGUCUGUUUGUUACAGAUUGCAUUCUAGCUCAACUCUCUCUCUCUCUCUCUCUCUCUCUAUAUAUAUAUAU
rnacentral:lncRNA from 1 species